rnacentral:rRNA from 1 species
AUGGAUGAACUUAUGAAGAUGUUUGCUCCUAAAAAUACUCCUGUUGAUCCCAAUGAUAUGCCUUUGUCUACCUUGCUUGAGAAUAAUAAUGAAUCUAUGGAUGUGAAUUUUGUUGGUAGGAAUAGUUUUGGAAACAACGCGUAUAGAGGGAAUUUUAAUCCUAGGCCUUAUCCUAGUAAUCCUUCUAAUAAUUAUGGAAAUUCCUACAACAACUCUUAUGGAAAUUUUAAUAAGAUGCCCUCUGAAUUUGAGAGUAGUGUUAAAGAGUUUAUGAAUUCACAAAAGAAUUUUAAUGCUUUACUUGAAGAGAAAUUGCUUAAAGUUGAUGAUUUGGCUAGGACGUUGAUAUAA